ensembl:lncRNA
GUGGACCUUUUAAGCAAUGCCUCCAAAUGACAUUGAAAGGACAUGGUAUUCACCCGUUUGCUUUAUUUCCAACUUUCGCUUGUUUUUCUUAACAGUAGGAAGGUCAGCAUACUUGGAGGAUUUUGUUUUCUUCCAGUGGAGUGGAUGGAGUGAAAAACAGAAAGAAAACAGAGGAAAGUUCAGAGAUCUUUGAAUGGAUGAUUAGCCCUGAGCUAACAUCUGCUGCCAAUCCUCCUCUUUUGCUGAGAAAGACUGGCCCUGGGCUAACACCUGUGCCCAUCUUCCUCUACUUUAUAUGUGGAACGUCUGCCACAGCAUGGCUUGACAGUUUCCCCAGUCAUCUCUCAGUCGGCUGGAAUUUGUUGCCUAGGUGUUUCCUCAAGAAGGGCUCACGCUUCACAAGACCCUAAUGACCGCAUUUGAACUUGAUCACUUCUGUAAAGACCCUAUCGCCAAAUAAGGUCACGUUCUGAGAUGAGGAAACUGAGGCACAGAGGAGUUGAGUGAAUUGCAAGAUCCCUCAGCAAGUGAGUGGUUGCAAGGCUCAUCUCAUAUAAUGAGAAGCAUGAAAUAUCAGAAUAACCAGAGAGAGGCUAUUCUCAAGUUUCGUAUCAUCCCAAGUUCUGGAGAAGAGACCCACUGGUUCAGCUUGCCUAGGCAGCUACUCCUGGAGCCCCUGGUUGCGGUUAACCUUGGAUUAAGAUAACAGCACUGGAUUUAUUAUGCUGAUGCAGGAGAGAGGCAGUUCCUAAGAAAGAGAUGCUGAGUAGAUAAGCCCAAUACCAUAGAGAUGUUCAGCAUCAUAUGUAUGAAGCACCACUUUUCAAUAACCCCAAGGAGGCUUAGAGACCUGUGCUGUACCAGCUCUCCAACAGAAGUCAUGAGUGAGGCAAAGAUCCCACCUUUCUCUAUAUGUGCUGUGUACUGGUCUGUGACUUGCUGGGUGCUCCCCAGUGACGGGCUCUCUCUACGUAUUAGAGGACUAUUAUGCAGAAGAUUGUGAUCUCAUUCUCUUCCUCCCCUAUGAUGGACAAGAAGAAAUGAAUGUGUACUGCAGCCUUUGGGAUUUAAUGCAGACAGAGGCUAGCGCUACAGAUAAGCGCUGUUAAAGUGUCAGAAGGGGUUAUGAAGAGUCUUUGGAAUCUCCAUACCAUGGACUGGGAUUCUUGUUUAUUUUAGAAAACGCUUCAGCCCCUCCCAAUCACGGAGUGGAUUUCAGCCUUCUCCACAGAGUGCCUCUACCCAUCCGCUCUUCUGACCUGCCCACCACUCUCCUCCUCGCCUCCCAAGGACACUGAGGUUCAAAAGAAGUCAGCAAAUUGCCCACUAUUAUACAGCUGAAGGUGGCAGAACCAGGGCUUGAUCCCAAUAUAGUUACAUCCUGGCUUCUCCUGUUUUUCCGGGUGAAGGAGAGAGUACCUGUGGAUUGUAACCUCAGCAGCUUUUUCUGGUCAGACUGGCGUCCUGAUGCUUUAGAAACUCCUGAGAGUCUUCUCCUCUCCUGAAUUUGAAUUCUGGAAUUCUUGCAGGCGUUUUCUUAAAGCAAUUGCAGAAACCUGACACCCUGGAGGACUCUAUGAGCACGUUCGCUGGGAGUUUAUGGCAAAUGUGUGUCUCAGUGGUUCUUAAAUCUUCUGUGCAUCAGAAUUACCUGUGAGAUCAUCAAAACAUGGAUGCCCCAGUAUCAUCUAGAAUCUCCUUAAUCAGAGGAUCUAAGGAUCAUACUAGGCCAUCUGUAUUUUAGAAAAGUUUUCUCGGUGAUUCUGAAAAGUAUCUGUUAUCCUUUAGAGCUAUGGGUAUAUUUUCUUUGACAACUAAUUUUUUUUUCCCAAGAGGUACUUGGCAAGCCAUUGGCAAUUUGAGAAUUGUUAAUUGUGACUUUAGAACUGCUGUUGGCGGGGCAAGGAUGAGAAGUUGUAACAGGCACAGACACUGCUUCUCUCAUCUUCUCUCUAUUCCCUGUCCUCCAUGGCGCUUUGAGGUUUUAAAAAAGAUGUCAGAUGUUUUCUUUGGCAAAAGCCCCCUUCUGUUUUGUGGAACUUGGCAUCAAGAAAAGUGUCAAAAGAGAAAACAGGAAUAACUGCUGUACUUCUAGAAGCC